ACACUGAAAUGCUUGGUGGGAAAUCAAAGUGAAAUUCUUUGGCUGUACCUGCAAUCGUGAAAGUCGGAGCGCCACCCAGUGCAGUCCUUUGUCGAAUGAUGGCCAGGAAAAGUCUAAUUCUGCAAUGAAAAA
rnacentral:ncRNA from 10 species